rnacentral:rRNA from 1 species
UACGGAGGAGGCAAGCGUUAUCCGGAAUUAUUGGGCGUAAAGCGUCCGUAGGUGGCUAUUCAAGUCUGCGGUCAAAGCCAGGAGCUUAACUCCUGACGGGCCGUGGAAACUGAAAAGCUAGAGGGCAGUAGGGGUAGAGGGAAUUCCCGGUGUAGCGGUGAAAUGCGUAGAGAUCGGGAAGAACAUCGGUGGCGAAAGCGCUCUACUGGAGUGUACCUGACACUGAGGGACGAAAGCUAGGGGAGCGAAUGGG